GGGGGGGGGGGGCAAAUACCUUGAAAUUUGUGGACCUGGUCAUUUUCCCAAAGAUACAGGUCUGUAACACACAUGCUCUGCAGUAAUGUCUGUUUAUUAAUUCUCACUAGUGUCCAAAAACACCUGGAAAGCGGUAGGACAAUGUCAUGGGAAAUCCAUAUGCUCGUGUUAUUGGAUAUUUGUCUUGACCGGGUACCAUUUGAAAAGGAAACUGAAAAGCAACCCUCUUUUAUGUUUUAGAUGGGCUGCAAAAUACAGCACAAAAGGAAUACACAAAAUUCCCUCAGUAAAGUACUUCUUUUCAGCUAUUUGGUUUAAUCACACAUAACAGGCGCUCUUAGUUGCUGCUUUGCUGGGGCCAAGUGAAACAGAUAACCCAGUCCUUGGCGUGGACUCCGCUCUUCUGUCCCCCAUUACUGCCAUUGAUAAAUACCACUGGGGAGUGCCUACUGCAGAAUCCCAGCCACUUUGUCAUUUGCAACCUGGCCAGCCAUUUUUUCAGUGACUAUCCAAUUACUGGAAGUAAGUUAUUCUAUUCAGAGGUGAACACCAGUCACGCUUAAGUGUUCCCACCAACCGGUGUGCAGCGCCCCACACUUGGAGCCACCGCACAGGACAAAUACUGCUUUUCCUGAGCUCCCCUGGAGCUUCAUUCAUUGAGGCAACCCAAGAUCCCUUGCUAAAAGCAAAACUAAAGCAUUCCACGCCGUUUUCAUUCAGGUGGCCUCCAUUUGACUCCCGACAGCCUGAACUCGUCACGUAGCGUCUUCACAUCCAACCUUUACAACCAAGACUCUAUACCUCAAACUACAGUGCCUUGGAAAAUUACUGCCACAUCGGCAGAAAACCGAGUUACCUUUCGAGUCAGGUUUGAUUCUGAUGCAGGCAGCCAUGUGCGGCAGGGCUUUCGCACGGUUGCAAGCGCACACCUGGCCGGAUGCUGGCUGCACCACACACUGCCAAGUACAAACUCCCCGAAAAACAGGUGGAUUCGGAAACCAACAGCGCCCGGGUCAGAACUCUGGGCCAGUCCAAAACCUGACAACAUCUGCGUUCCUUGCAGGUAUUUUCGAACGUAAGCCCGACGCUAGGCAGUGCUGUUAGAAAGUGAUUUGGAAGAGCGCUUCCGAGCCACGGCGCGCCCUCCGGGGGAGCGCACCGGAGCAGGUGCGGGCGAGCCCCGCGCCCGGGGAGGUCAGGAAUUCCCCAGCCACACCAGAUCCAACCGGACGCCCCAGAACGGGGACGGUCCCCGGAGUCCGCCUCCCAACCUGGAAGCACCUUGAGGAAGAAAUUGUCUUGUCUACAGCUCUAUCCUCAGUACAGCACCAAGCUUACAGUGGAUGCUCAGUGAAGAUUUGCCGAUUUGCCGAAUGAAUGCUUUCACCCCUGCAACUGUUUACUGCCUGCUAGGAGCUCAGAGCCUCUGGGAUACAGGCUGGGAAUGACAGUGCCUGCUCGCUUGGAAGGCCUCUCUUCUGGAGUCAAUAAAACAGCACUUCUUUGCUUCUUC
rnacentral:lncRNA from 1 species